rnacentral:misc_RNA from 1 species
AAGUCGUAACAAGGUUUCCGUAGGUGAACCUGCGGAAGGAUCAUUAAAAAUCUAACAACCACAAUAAGGCUGAGGGGAAUUGGCCGAGGGUGGCGAGGGCAUUUGGCAGAGGCAAAGGGAGACGGUUUUUGGGAGGACACUUUGGGCGACGACACCUGAAACUUGCUAAAAAUUUGCGAAUCGAGGACGCAAAAUUAUGGUAAAGCCAAGGGCAUUGGGCGACCGCAAGAGUUUUGGAUUUCAUCCCUCUCUCUGCAAAACACAUGUUGGUUGAGCAUUAAUCACCAGUACAACUUUUAACAAUGGAUCUCUAGGCUCUU